rnacentral:rRNA from 1 species
GACGGAGGAUGCAAGUGUUAUCCGGAAUCACUGGGCGUAAAGCGUCUGUAGGUGGUUUAAAAAGUCUACUGUUAAAGCUUGAAGCUUAACUUCAAAAAUGCCGUAGAAACUUUUUAAACUUGAGUAUGGUAGGGGUAGAGGGAAUUUCCAGUGGAGCGGUGAAAUGCGUAGAUCUUGGAAAGACCACCAAUGGCGAAGGCACUCUACUGGGCCAUUACUGACACUAAGAGACGAAAGCUAGGGGAGCAAAUGGG